ensembl:lncRNA SOX2-OT SOX2 overlapping transcript
GUCGUAAAAGGGGACGCGGAGGAGAAGGAAAGUCGCUCAAGCAGUGGACAGAGCGGAGAAAGCGACUUCGGCCGCAGAGAGAAGAAGCUGCCCAAGAAUGGAAAGGAAGAAAUAUAUCACAUCAUCUGUCUGUCCACAGGCUUUCCUUGGGGCUUAUGAAGUGAAUGAAGGAGGGAAGAAAGGAGAGACAGAGAAAAUAUGGAUUUCCUCAUGGUUGUGAUUCCUCUUCACUCUUUUGAAUUUGGAAGGAUGGCAUACACAUCUGAAAAAUACCACUACUUCCUUCAUUGGACUGCAAGGUAUUUCUGUUUGGAAAAGUAAUGGAGUCCAGUCAACUUCAUUGAUCGCCAAGGACUGUCAAAAUUAUAAAACUUGCUGUGGAGCUCUGACAUGCCAGAAGCCGCUAGAAAAAGAAGUUUGACAUUCAGAAACUUAUCAAGAGGUUCUACUCUUUGGAUAGAGACCAAAAUCAUACUUUGAAAAAGCCUGACAGGUUUCUUCGGAAAAGUGGCCAUCCAUGGAAUGAAUGAAAUGUUCUCUUUCUAUUCCAGGGAUUGCAGUGGCAAAGCUAGGCUAGGUCUUGGAGGCUGGUGUAAGGCGAUGUGGGUGAAGGCAGGAGGCUGAUGGAAAGACUGGGGGGAAGAAAAGCCGAAAUGGAUUCACGGUGCCUUGGAUGAAGGACGAGAGGGGAACUGCAAGCUCCUUCAACUGGUUCUGUCCGGUGAGAAGUGAUCAAGCUUGGGCUGACAAGAGGCUCAGGGAGCCCUCACGUUCUUUCGCUUUUUUACCUGCCAAUCAAACUGCUACAAGACAACACCCUGAUCUGGCAUGGACAUCGCGGGUCCAAGCCUGUAGCCCCAAAUCGGAUAAUCUCUGCAGCUGAUAACAAGCAAAAGAGAAGCCAGGCAACAGCCAUAUUAAAGAAGAAAACAAUCAACUCUGAGGAUGGCUGCCAGGGAAUAGAUGAAAGGCAGAAGUGGCGAUGGGUGACUGAUGUGGCACACUUAUGAAGAAAAGCCUCUUUUUCCAUGCUUGUUUUUCCUCCCCAAGGAGCCAACAGAGUUUCUAUUCUCCAACUCUGCUCUUCACCUUACCCAAGUCAUUGCAGUCACCUGGAGUCACGGAAAUGACCAUGAUUGCCUGAACUUUCAUGACUUCUGUGGAUAACUGUGGUUGCAGAAAAGAGAAAACCUGGACCGUGAGGGACAUUUCACUCCCUGGGCUUUGGCCUCCCUACAGCGUUGGCUCAGCUCUAGCUACUUGGAAGGUCGUGGCAAUGCUGUCUCAGAAUGUCCGUUUCUAGAGUACAGAGAAGAAAUUCUAGCUUGACGUCCACGUGCAUUUGUCUGUGUUUCAGAGGAAAUUCCAAUUCUAAACUCUUGGAAGAAACAAUUUCUCGGCAUGCUGAAGAGAAUUGCUGUUUUUUGGCACCUGAAACACUUUUACCCAAGGGUUCUGAUUAUUUAAAUAAUUGGUAUGCUAUAAAUAUUCUGGUUGACAGAAAUGUGGUUUAAUGUAGAUGAGUUGUAAAAACAUGAGACAAACAUGCUCCAGGCUAAAAAUAUCUGGAUUAAAAAAGAAAAA